rnacentral:lncRNA from 1 species
CAGUUGUUGCAAAGAGACUUUUAACCUUUUGGGGGGAUUUUCACUAAAAGUCCUUUACUCCAAUCGUCUGGUAGGAAAGACCUAAGCAUUUUUUUUGGUAAAUUUGUUCUUCUUUUUUUUAUAACAUAUUCAUUUUCACUGUCUCUGGUAUGUAUGUAUUAGAGAUUUGUUUGAGUGUAACAACAUACAUCGAAACAGCAAUAAUGUUCAGCAAAGUAAGAUUUACAAAUAAGUCAACAUGACUGAAAUGGUCAGUUGACACCUUUAGGAGUUAUUGCCCUUUAUAGUCGAUUUUUAACCAUUUUUCGUAAAUCUUAGUUAUCUUUUACAAAUAUCUUCUCCUCUAAAACUACUGGGCC